CCCAAAUUCCACGCUCUCUCCUCCUCGUCGCCGGCUAAUGCUAUCCGACCAAUCACAAUGUCGCCCACUCUCGUCUCGCUAUCCAUCGUAAACCCUACAGCCUUUGCCGCCCGCAAAUCCUCCCUCUUCCCCGGCGUCCGCCCUCUUCCCCCGCUCCUGCCCUCUCGCCUCCAAACCCCAGCGGCCUUGCGGGGGUUCAGGAGGCGGCGGCGCGGGUGGGGAGCGCUGGUUCCGCCCUCGGCGGCCGCGUCGGCGUUCUCGGCGGCGGCUGAGGAUGAGGAGUGGCUCAAGAAGCUCCCUGACAAGAAGAAGCCUCUCUACUCCCACAGCCUCCCGUGCAUCGAGGCGUGGUUCAGAAAGCUUGGGUUCCGACAGAGCCGGGAUGAUCGAGCGGUGUGGGUCGUCGAGAAACCCAACUGGCACGCCCAGCUCUCCCUCGAUGUCACCGACCUUUACAUAAGGUACCUGAAGAGUGGGCCAGGAAACCUUGAGAAGGACAUUGAGAGAAGAUUUAGUUAUGCGUUGAGCAGGGAGGAUAUUGAAAAUGCCAUCCUUGGUGGACCUUGAAAAUGAUAAAGCUUGACAGGAUUGUGGAUAUCUGGGAAGCUUCUUUAUGAAGAAUGCUCUGUUUUGGAUUAAGCAAGUGGUCAUUAUCAAAUCAAUAGUCGAUUUGAUUAUGGUUCUGAUUCCAAGAAUCCGAGGGUUCACAGCUGACUUGUGCGUUUUCUUGUUGAUUUCUUGAUGCACUCUUAUCAACUGGGGCAACCAGUCGAGUAGCUUAAAAAAGAUGUAUGCAUUACCUCUUAGAACUAGAUUUUGCAGCUUGAACAUAAUGUAUAACUUCACAAGUUGUGCUGGUGAUGGUCGUUUGUAACAGAUGGAGCAACUGUAAAGAUCAUAAGAAUAUAACUUCAAGCUUGACAAUGUAGCUGGUUAAGUUAUCAAUA